CGAUUCGACCGGCGCCUACGCGGGUGUCGCAAGCUGUAAACGGCAUCGGGGCGGGGAGCAGAGCACGUUUCGCCGGGCGACCUCGGCCAAGUUCAACGGAGUUCCCGCUGACGGGCAAGCAGACUCAGCACAGUCAACUGGGAAGCUGAAUCCACAGUCUCCGCGGUGGACAAAAAGGUUCCAUGUCGGACGGGCAGCACCGGACAGGAUACCCGGCGCAUCCAGGAAGAGUGCCCUUGAAAAAUCUAUCUGUGGAUAUGCAGAAAAGUUUGGGGAUGAGAAUUAGGUGUGGAAAGAGCCACCGGAGCGUAGAGAAAUCAAAAUGAAUGCAGGAAAUUGUGUGCGGAUGCUCGGGCAAACCGUCAUCGGAGAACACUAAAUUAUGCAUUGGCGAAUGCUCUGCAAUGAUCGGGUUGCUUGAAACAGCGGAAAUGGAUGGUACAUAAUUGAGGAGAGAGUGAAACAUAACUACAAGGGCUGAAAAUUGUGGAUAAAAAGUCUUCUGGCCUUCACACAAGUACAUAAAUGUGUACACAAGAGAUCUAGUCCGCCAGGUAAGGGAAAAUAACAUAAAUGUUGUAAAAGCAUACAACAUAAUUGCAGCAUUCUUUGGGAAUGAAGGCAAAACGGUCACUUCAAGUUUGGGAACUAAGGAGCAGGCAAACAAUGAUGUCAGAAAACCGUCGAGGCAUUCGAUGAACUAGGAGCAAGGACCAGGACUUCAUGUCUAGGGUGCAAACAGACGAUAAAGUUCGAAUCAAUAAUCUUAUGUGG